UACGGGGGGGGCAAGCGUUGUUCGGAAUUACUGGGCGUAAAGGGCUCGUAGGCGGCCAACUAAGUCAGACGUGAAAUCCCUCGGCUUAACCGGGGAACUGCGUCUGAUACUGGAUGGCUUGAGUUUGGGAGAGGGAUGCGGAAUUCCAGGUGUAACGGUGAAAUGCGUAGAUAUCUGGAGGAACACCGGUGGCGAAGGCGGCAUCCUGGACCAACACUGACGCUGAUGCGCGAAAGCCAGGGGAGCGAACGGG
rnacentral:rRNA from 1 species